rnacentral:rRNA from 1 species
AUGUUUUUAGGCACAACAGUCUGCUUGGUAUACCAUGAAUCAAGGCACUCACUGAUAGUAUCUGACAGGAGAGAUGCCCACUCUUCUAUAACAUUCUUAUGCAGUGUCUGCCUGCAGAUAGCCACGGUAAUGUAUCUAGAAAUUCCGGGCAUAGAGUUGGUUGGUUUUGAAGGUCGGUAUUUGUUUUUGUCCAUGACCAGCACAGAAGCUGAGCCAGUCUCCAUACCAGGAGGCACCUCAUCAAAACUCUCAUCCAAUUCAGCUGCCUCGGAUACAUCCAGCUUUUCAAAUAUACUAGCAUAA